GAUGAAGAACGUAGCGAAACGGGAAAGGUAAUGCGAAUUGCAGAAUCAGUGAGUCAUCGAAUCUUUGAACGCACAUUGCGCCUCUCGGUAUUCCGGGAGGCACGCCUGUUCGAGCGCCAUUACACACUCCAAGCUCUGCUUGAUGUUGGAUGCUGCGGCAACCCUUCAAGGGGGGCUGCACGUCUGGAACACGUGGGCGUCCGGCCUGUCGAGAAACCGCGAGCGUAGCAAGACACAACUUUGUCAUUCGCUUCGUCGGACCUCCAGCGGACGGUUUGUGGUAGAGAAUUCUCAAUUCUGUCCACCAUUACGAGUUUGGCCUCGGAUCAGGCGGGGAUACCCGCUGAACUUAAGCAUAUCAAUAAGCGGAGGA
rnacentral:misc_RNA from 1 species